UACGGAGGGUGCGAGCGUUGUCCGGAAUCAUUGGGCGUAAAGGGCGCGUAGGUGGCCCGGUCAGUUCGUGGUGAAAGCGCGGGGCUCAACCCUGCGUCGGCCAUGAAUACUGCCGCGGCUGGAGCACUGUAGAGGCAGGCGGAAUUCCGGGUGUAGCGGUGGAAUGCGUAGAGAUCCGGAAGAACACCGGUGGCGAAGGCGGCUUACUGGUCCGGUUCUGACGCUGAGGCGCGAAAGCGUGGGGAGCAAACAGG
rnacentral:rRNA from 1 species